rnacentral:tRNA from 1 species
AGGGUUAUAGUUAAUUAUAACAUUUGAUUUGCACUCAAAAAGUAUUGAACUAAUCAAUUUUCCUUA